AGCAGCCGCGGUAAUUCCAGCUCCAAUAGCGUAUAUUAAAGUUGUUGCAGUUAAAAAGCUCGUAGUUGAAUUUCGGGAUCAAUAUGUCGGUCGUGCCUUGGUACGUACUGGUAUCAUUGGUCUCUCCUUUCUGACGAACCAUGAUGUCAUUAAUUUGGUGUUAUGGGAAGUUAGGACUGUUACUUUGAAAAAAUUAGAGUGUUUAAAGCAGGCUUUAGCUUGAAUACAUUAGCAUGGAAUAAUGAAAUAGGACGUUCGAACCUAUUUUGUUGGCUUCUAGGAUCAACGUAAUGAUUAAUAGGGAUAGUUGGGGGCAUUAGUAUUCAAUUGUCAGAGGUGAAAUUCUUGGAUUUAUUGAAGACUAACUACUGCGAAAGCAUUUGCCAAGGAUGUUUUCAUUAAUCAAGAACGAAAGUUAGGGGAUCGAAGACGAUCAGAUACCGUCGUAGUCUUAACCAUAAACUAUGCCGACUAGGGAUCGGAUGAUGUUAAUUUUUUCAAUGACUCAUUCGGCGCCUUA
rnacentral:misc_RNA from 1 species